rnacentral:rRNA from 1 species
AUGGCUCAGAUUGAACGCUGGCGGCAGGCCUAACACAUGCAAGUCGAGCGGUAACAGAAAGUAGCUUGCUACUUUGCUGACGAGCGGCGGACGGGUGAGUAAUGCUUGGGAACAUGCCUUGAGGUGGGGGACAACAGUUGGAAACGACUGCUAAUACCGCAUAACGUCUACGGACCAAAGGGGGCUUCGGCUCUCGCCUUUAGAUUGGCCCAAGUGGGAUUAGCUAGUUGGUGAGGUAAUGGCUCACCAAGGCGACGAUCCCUAGCUGGUUUGAGAGGAUGAUCAGCCACACUGGGACUGAGACACGGCCCAGACUCCUACGGGAGGCAGCAGUGGGGAAUAUUGCACAAUGGGCGCAAGCCUGAUGCAGCCAUGCCGCGUGUGUGAAGAAGGCCUUCGGGUUGUAAAGCACUUUCAGUCAGGAGGAAAGGUUAGUAGUUAAUACCUGCUAGCUGUGACGUUACUGACAGAAGAAGCACCGGCUAACUCCGUGCCAGCAGCCGCGGUAAUACGGAGGGUGCGAGCGUUAAUCGGAAUUACUGGGCGUAAAGCGUACGCAGGCGGUUUGUUAAGCGAGAUGUGAAAGCCCCGGGCUCAACCUGGGAACUGCAUUUCGAACUGGCAAACUAGAGUGUGAUAGAGGGUGGUAGAAUUUCAGGUGUAGCGGUGAAAUGCGUAGAGAUCUGAAGGAAUACCGAUGGCGAAGGCAGCCACCUGGGUCAACACUGACGCUCAUGUACGAAAGCGUGGGGAGCAAACGGGAUUAGAUACCCCGGUAGUCCACGCCG